rnacentral:lncRNA from 10 species
AUGCUUCAAGUACAAACCAGAGCUGAGGAUUUUGAAUAGACUCCAUUUAGUUUCUCUUCUGGAGGCCCAACCCACACAAUCCUAAUUUCUCUGCCUCUUAAGUUGAUGCCAUAACCAAGUACUGUGGAGACAUCAAAAGAAUGAAGACAAAGAAAACAUACAGAAUUGGAAGGUUAGGUUAAGGCUGUUCACUGGGACUGAAUAAUCCCUAAAAGUCUCUAGUAAUUCUAUGAUUAGAUGAUUCUAAUUAUUCCUAAAUAAAUGUUCCUAUAUUGGCAA